rnacentral:rRNA from 1 species
AGCAGUAGCCGCGGGAAUACAGAGGGUGCGAGCGUUAAUCGGAUUUACUGGGCGUAAAGCGUGCGUAGGCGGCUAAUUGAGUCGGAUGUGAAAUCCCCGAGCUUAACUUGGGAAUUGCAUUCGAUACUGGUUAGCUAGAGUGUGGGAGAGGAUGGUAGAAUUCCAGGUGUAGCGGUGAAAUGCGUAGAGAUCUGGAGGAAUACCGGUGGCGAAGGCGGCCCCCUGGACAAAGACUGACGCUCAGGUGCGAAAGCGUGGGGAGCAAACAGGAUUAGAUACCCCCGUAGUCCCUGUCUCUUAUAC